AGAUGACUGGACGUUACAGUUGUGGGCUCAAUUUAAGAGCAUUCUACUUCAAAGUCAAAUUCAAUAUUCACUGUUUCUUUUAUGCAUUUACAUUUUUCUAACUGUUUUUACCCCUUGAAAACACCAAAUAGAGCCUACAGAAUCAUAAUAAUACCUUCAUUGUAUUGCUAUGUUUUCUCAAGGUCUAAGCCGACGUCUGCAGGGAUUUUGCUAUACAUGUCACUUUAUUAGUCGUGCAAUAUGUACAUUUCCAUAUUACAAGCCAUUUCAAGUACAUGCACAUGCAUGCAUCAUACAAAGUCAUUGGAGGCAACCGUGACUUCUGGGAUCCACAGAAGUUCUCUGUCUUUCUUCUGACUCUUGAGGGGAGCAGACAGAACAUCUGGAGGUGGAAUCUCACUGAAGAAGUCUGCUGCUACCUGAAGGAGGGACCCGCUGAUGAUGGCUACUGUCGUGGAGGAACACCUGCUGGCCCACAGUACCCUUGUGGACUGCUCAGAGCCCUUCUGCAAACCGCUGCCAGGUGAACUGAUUACUGCAUAAUUCCCUUUAUGCCUCUGCCCGAAUUAUUAUCUACGUGGAGUGGAUCAUUCAGUCAGUGAUCCGGAUCUCACAGAUGGAGCCAUUAGAGCCAAUCAUCAGAGCCAGUGCAACCUCCCGGCAUCAGAGAAGUGGUUCCUGAGUCCGUUCCUGUUCCAGCUACAUCCUAAUUCAAUAAACC